UACGUAGGAGGCAAGCGUUGUCCGGAAUUACUGGCGUAAAGCGCGUGUAGGUGGUGGGACAAGUCUGCUGUGAAAGCGCCUGGCUUAACCGGGCGAGGUCGGCGGAAACUGUUCGACUCGAGGACGGCAGAGGGGGGUGGAAUGCCGCGUGUAGCAGUGAAAUGCGUAGAGAUGCGGCGGAACACCGAUGGCGAAGGCAGCCCCCUGGGCUGAGAUUGACGCUCAGGCACGAAAGCGUGGGGAGCAAACAGG
rnacentral:rRNA from 1 species